AAGUCGUAACAAGGUUUCCGUAGGUGAACCUGCGGAAGGAUCAUUAAAGAGAUAGGGUUCUAACGAGCCCAACCUCCAACCCUUUGUCUACCAAACCUCUGUUGCCUCGGCGGGUCGCCGGCUCCCUUAACCGGGCGCCGCCGUCGGCCCUUGCGCUCUCGAGUGCCCGCCGCAGGACCAUUGAAACCCUUUUUUAAACGAGUAUAAUCUGAGUGGAAUUUAAUGCUUCAAUUAAAA
rnacentral:misc_RNA from 1 species